rnacentral:tRNA from 1 species
AUUACUUUGGCAGAUUAGUGCUUUAAAUUUAGAAUUUAAAUAAAUAUAUAGUUAAUAUAUAAGUAAUA